AUUGAACGCUGGCGGCAGGCCUAACACAUGCAAGUCGAGCGGGGUUUUCGGACCUAGCGGCGGACGGGUGAGUAAUGCGUAGGAAGCUACCCGAUAGAGGGGGAUACCAGUUGGAAACGACUGUUAAUACCGCAUAAUGUCUACGGACCAAAGUGUGGGACCUUCGGGCCACAUGCUAUCGGAUGCGCCUACGUGGGAUUAGCUAGUUGGUGAGGUAAUGGCUCACCAAGGCGACGAUCCCUAGCUGGUUUGAGAGGAUGCUCAGCCACACUGGAAGUGUGACACGGUCCUGACUCCUACGGGAAGCAGCAGUGGGGAAUAUUGGACAAUGGGCGCAAGCCUGAUUCAGCCAUGCCGCGUGUGUGAAGAAGGCCUUCGGGUUGUAAAGCACUUUCAGUAGGGAGGAAGCGUUGUGUGUUAAUAGUACACAGCGUUGACGUUACCUACAGAAGAAGCACCGGCUAACUCUGUGCCAGCCGCCGCGGUAAAAC
rnacentral:rRNA from 1 species